rnacentral:lncRNA from 1 species
GAGGGCGCGGGUCUCCGGAGACGUGAUUUUGGCGUCACAACUGCUAGAAGGCGCCUCAGUUCUCUCCUGGCGACGUGUCCGGUUGUCCCACGUCAAGGCGCUAACUUCGGCCACAGGAUCACUGAGGCUCAACUUGAGAAGAAUCUCAGCCCGGCUCCACUCGGGCAGUGGGACCUCUCCGAUUCACAGGCGCGUGGCUCGGGCCCGCGGAUUUUCUUAGCUGGGUGACACGAUGUUGCCAGCGGCAGCCCGGGACUCCUGCGCCGGAGUUUCAUGCAACAAUGUGGCUUAUUGAGGGGCUGCCGGCCCGCGGGCCUCCGGAUCAGUGACGUGCGCACGCCCAUUGGCUGCGCGGGGAGGGUGUGUGCGCCCACGGACCGCCCGCCGCCGUGGCGCAGCCAAUCAUCGCUCACGGCUCGCGGGCGCGGCCGC